rnacentral:rRNA from 1 species
UAAUCGCGGAUCAGCAUGCCGCGGUGAAUGCGUUCCCGGGCCUUGUACACACCGCCCGUCACACCACCCGAGUCGUCUGCACCCGAAGCCGCCGGCCCAACCCGCGAGGGGGGGGGAGGCGUCGAAGGUGUGGAGGGUGAGGGGGGUGAAGUCGUAACAAGGUAGCCGUACGGGAACGUGCGGCUGGAUCACCUCCUUUCUAGGGAGA